GUUGUUGACUUCUUCAAUCGAAUCAACCUUAUUUAUGGAACUGUUUCCGAGUUUUGUGACGAAUCAACUUGUCCAACUAUGUCUGGAGGAUCACGCUAUGAGUAUUUGUGGGCAGAUGGAGAUAUGUAAGUUUUUACGUUCCCUUCCCAACUAAUAUCACAAAAUUAUAAUCUGCGUUACGCUUUGUAUAAUUAAUUGUCGUCUUGAACUAAAAAAAUAACUCCGCCACAAAAUGUACUGUGCUGUAUGUUAUUAUGUCUAUGGUCAACAUAGCUAAAGUUGCUAUCAAUCAAAAGGAAACCUUAUAAAAGUUUUAGGAUUUAGGUUUUAGGUUGGUUUGGACAAAGGCAUUAAGUUUGCUUAAGAGAUAGGGAGACGGGUUCUCUCCCCAGAUACCGCCUUAACCUAGGGUAAUGCAUUUUUCUAUGGCACGUGUUUUAUUGAAAAUUAUAGCCAUCGUGCAAAGUAAAGCUCGAAGCAGAAAAUAAGAUAUAAGCCCCAAUCCAUCAAAAAACUUGGUUUGGUUUGACACCAAAUUAUUUAAAUUGUAUUUAAAAAGUGAUAUUAGUUUGCUGGUUAAUUUUUUUUCUUUACUAACGAUUGCAGCUAUAAAAAACCAAUUGCUCUUCCGGCUAAAAAGUAUAUUGAACACUUAAUGGACUGGAUUGAGAGCCAAAUUAACAAUGAAGCCUUAUUUCCCGUAUCCACUGGUAUGUAUCCAAAUCAAGUACCGGGCCUUGCCGCGUCUUACAACGUUCCCGCUGGUUUUGUGCUCCAAUAAGUACAUAGUUUUGUAUAUUUAUCCAUUUAUCUUGAACAAAAUACUCACUUAUACCUUUGCAGAUGUUCCAUUUCCAAAAACAUUUGUUGCACUUUGUCGCAAAAUUUUAACGCGAUUAUUCCGUGUUUUUGUACACGUCUACAUUCACCAUUUUGAUAGACUCGUGAGCAUCGGCGCUGUAAGUAAAUUAAAUUGUUUAUAACCCCUCGAUUUCCUUGACCCUGUAAUAACUGGAAGUCAUAGAUAUAUAUACAUAUGUACGUAUACUCAUAUGAUAAUAAAUAAAUAUCAGGUAUAGAAUAAUCAAAUCAGUCCUCAGAAAAUGAAUUAAAUGAGGAUUCACGUUUUGCUCGACCCCGUUGUUAUCGUUCGUUUUCUUUCGAAAUGACCAGACUUGUUUCCCCGAAACAAAAUCAAAAGCCAAGAAACAAAUUGUCGGUCUAGUAAUCUCUUUCCUCUGGUGUUAAAGUAUUCUCUAAAAUAACCCCCUAAUAUACAACUCAUUUCAAAUGCUUAGUGCAGCGAAAUGACUUCCAUGCGAUGUUAGCUCAAUAACUAACAUGCUUAAACACUUAUUUUUUAUUUACAGGAGGCGCACGUCAACGCUUGUUAUAAACAUUUCUAUUAUUUCGUUAGAGAAUUCGAUAUGAUAUCAAGCAAGGAAUUGGAGCCAUUGCACGAAAUGACGUCCCGGAUUUGCAAAGACAAAGAGUGAAAAAAUAAUAGUAUUUGUGUAAAUUGAUUUUUAAUGUUUCGAAUACGGAAAUAUUUCUUAAGAGAUGCGACAUAAAAUUAUAUUCAUAUAAUUUUUGUAUUUUAAAAAGUUGAAUCAUAUAUUUUAAAAAAUAAAUGAAUCUGAAUGUG
rnacentral:lncRNA from 1 species